rnacentral:rRNA from 1 species
UACGUAGGGUGCAAGCGUUGUCCGGAAUUAUUGGGCGUAAAGAGGCUCGUAGGCGGUCUGUCGCGUCGGCUGUGAAAUCCCGGGGCUCAACCCCGGGCCUGCAGUCGAUACGGGCAGACUAGAGUGCGGUAGGGGAGACUGGAAUUCCUGGUGGUAGCGGUGAAAUGCGCAGAUAUCAGGAGGAACACCGGUGGCGAAGGCGGGUCUCUGGGCCGUAACUGACGCUGGAGGAAGCGAAAGCGUGGGGAGCAA